GAUUAAGCAUGGCAGACACAGAGUAUGUACCCAAUAAAUAAUAGGUAUAAUUGUGCUCAUCCACACUCUCAUCAAUUACCUGGCAAAAAUUCUAUUCAAGGGCUAGGACUCUGCUACUCCACUCCAAUCCUCUUCAGUUCCACUAUGUUUACCUCAGUUCCCCAACCAAAUGGGUAACAGCUGGUUUUGCAUGAAAGUGAGCAACUAUGGAGGCAGAGGAUUGUCUCCUCACGUACUCGGGAUGAAUUCUACCCCGAGGCACCACACCCUUGUUGGGCCAACUGCACAGAAUUCUGUGCAUGCACGACUAUCAAGUGUUUAUCUAUUGCCCCAGAAGCAAGCUUCUCUAAACCUGGUGCUUGUUUCUCUCCUAUGCUUCCAUCUCCUGUUGACCUCCCUUCCAAUUCUUUCCAAUGUGCCUCAUGGAAUUUUCAUUCUGUUAUGAGUAACCCUCUGUUGAUCUCCUAGUUUUCAUUAAACGUUGUCUGUGCUUCAAGAACACUGAAUAUCUUUUUGCUGUGUUAAAUCCAAAGCUUAGUCAUUGGUCCUCAUCUUAGUUGAAUCCUCAGUACUUUCGCUACUACCACCCUUGUACAAGCUGCUACCUUUUUUUUUUUUUUGCCUGAAAUGAUACAGUAGUGUAUAAACCAAGUAUCUCUGCUUGCAUCGUCAUCUGCCUGUCAUGUAUGCUCAAUGUAGUAACCACAGUGAUCCUUAUAAAAGUAAAGUCAGGUAAAUGUCACUCCUUGGCUACUUCAGGUCAGGGACCAUGUCAUUUUUUUUUUUCCCUCUGUAUCUCCAGGGCUUAUCGCUGAAACUUAGCAGGCACUCAGUAAAUAUUUUGCUAAGCAGUUAAAACUAAGAGAAGAAAGAGGAGGGAGAAAUAUGGUAAUCACUUACCACAUCCUCUUUUAACCUCUUGAAUAUCUUACCAAUGUCUUCUUUUGUUCUUACUUUCACAUCAUUUGAUUUGAUAAAACAAAACUAUUAUCUAGAGAGGUAAGGCAGACUUGUGAACUGGACCCGUAGAAGUUAAGUGAUGUCCCUGUUUGCAGUGUCAAUGAGAUUGAGGGCUUGGGCUUGAACCCAACCUUCUCCCUCCAAAUAGCCUGCUCUUUCUGUUAUGUCAUGUUUCAUAUACAAGUUUGGGAGCCUCCAGCCCUGACUAUCCCAACAUAUACAACAUAAUGUAUAUGUUGUCUUUGGAAAUAUCUUCUGUGAAGGCCAAGCAUUUAAUAUUACAGGAAACCUUGAAGUGGAUAUGGAAGCUUGGCAGCCAGCUUGGAUCUUCCUAAGAGCCUCUUUCCUUCAUACCAUCUUCAGAAACUUGAACUUGGGUACUGACAAAUGAAGAUGAUGAACUUAUGUUUUUUACCUUCUUACCGUGUAUAACUCCUACUUGAAGAGUGUGAGAGAAUAUUUACUACUCGGAUGUUUGAGACAUACCAAAAAAUGCUUUUUGAUCCUUUAUCAAGAAGACGUAAUGACCAAGAUUGAUAAAGAAAAAUGCAAUGGUUACUUUACCUGCAACCAUCUCAAAGACGCUCUAAUGUCAUUUCAGAGGACUUCAGCCAUGAACUUGGUGAUGAGCCAGAGAAGGUAACUUUUCAUCCCCUACAAGACCUCCCAGAGGCCUUUAUUCUUCUUACAGCGAUUCUGCUGUGAAUUCGUACGGAAUGGGCUCCAGCAGCUCAGGCUACUUUCCACUGGGUCUCACAAAGUGUGCUUCUCGAAGCAGGCUGGGGCUUCCCUUGAACCCAGAUUCCCACUUAUGUACCUAAAGGAGCAACUCCAUGUUUUCCAAAAGGCCUGAAAAACAUAUAGCAGAUUCCAUGUUGCAGCUAACCUUAAAGAAAUCAUCACUUGGAACUGAUUCAGAAUCCCAUAUCACAUUUUGUUAUUACUUUUGCCUGGUCUCCUGCUGUCUGGAACAGUUUUUCAGUCUUCCUUCAUUUUCAAGAGUGUGAAAGGAUCCCAAGACCAAAAGUCUGGGAACUGCUGGUUUAGAGUCACAAUACUGACUGCUCAAAAUGACUUUUUAAAGAAGAAAGCCUUAAAAACCCUUGAGUGAAUGGUUGGUAUUUACAGACAAGCAAAUGUAUGGAAGAGAAACGAGAGACCCAGCCUGAAUCUGUUGAAUGAACGAAAGGGGAAAUGCCCUAAGGAGUCAGAUGGAAGAAGUUUUUCUGGGAAGAGCAGAACACAGGAGUUGGGGUGCAGACCUCCUGGAUCACCAGCAGAAGGAAAAGAGCAGUGAGACGUUAAAGUGAUUGAGACAAAAAUGGAAGUAAAACAGCUUAAGGCUUUCUGAGAUCGAGUUCCUGGCAGUGUCAUCAGCAGAUGGUUUCUUCUGAAGUUCAGGGGAAGAGAAGAUGCUCGAAGAACUCUCCAGGGACUGAGUGGGUGGUACAGAGCUAGUGCUGUAGAUGCCAUGUAUACAGGCAAAUUCCCCAAUGAGUGUUUUCCAAUAUCAAGUUUAACUGGCAUUUAAGAUAUAUGCCAAAGGUAGGUAAAUUAUUUUGGCCUGUGCUUAUAGGUUUAUUUCCCUGGAUGAAGCUUUCUGUCUCUGUCCUAGUGCACUGUAGCAGAUGCAGGGUCUUUCCAUACAAUACAUUAAAAGCUGCAUCUCAUUUUAAAUAUAUUAUAGAAACCCUGAUCAUACAAUACAUACAAGAUUUUUAAGAUCAGCCUUCAGUCGAUUUUUUUGCUUUAUUUUUGUUCUGGAGGUCAAAAUGAGUGGUUAACUGUCUAAGUUGAUUGCAGAGAAAGUUACUACUCAUUCUAAACGUAGGUUUUUAGAAAAGUGUUCUUGGCAGUUGCUACCAUUGGCUUUUUCCAACUUACAUGGGAAUCAAGAUUCAGAACUGGUACACCAAUGGGAAGAGCCUGGAAAAUAGACUAUUGAUCAAGAUGAAUCUGGUCCAGAUACUUUAAGACCUUUUCAGUGUGUUUUUAAGAUUAUAAGUUUGAACUAACAGAAACUUCAAUGCUGUUUUUUCACAAGUCAAUGUGUAGUGUACUGUUAUUCUUUUUUUUCCUGUAAUAUCUUAAUAAUAUUCCUGGCUGUAAGAAAAAGUUAACACUAUACCUAUGUUUUGACUUACUUUAUAGAAGACCCAAACAAUAUUUAACAAAAGGAUUUUUCUCAAAUACUAUUUUGAAAUCACUAUAUUAGACACUAUCUUAAAUUUAUUUCUCAAUUUGCUUCUUUUUGAAACUUCCACAUUUUGGUGUUCUUUUCAGCAUCACUCAUUUUCUUUCAUAAUAAAGAUACCCAAUAACAAUAUCAUAAUAAAGAUUUGAUAACAAAUCUCCAGUUUUGGAGUGUUACAUUUCAUAUCUACAUGCUUACAGAGAAUUUAGUAUGAAUAUUCCCUGGCCUUAGUUCCUCUAAGCCUAGGAUACUUGUAGUCAUUUGGCAAAUAAUUUAAUCCAUGGCAAACAUGAGUCUUAAUACAAAAAUUAUUGAGUAGGCAAAAAAUAAUUGAACAUAUUUUGGACUGAUUACCAGUGCAUUAAAAAAGUAGAGGUUUAAGGAUGAGAAUAAUAAGUUUUUUUGUUUUUACUUAAAUUUAUAUAAAAGGAGUGAAAAUACAGUAGCCUAUAGUACUUAAGAGUGUGGGUAUAUUUUCAGCACUUAAUAAUUACUAGUUGAAUUGCAUAAUAUGGGACUAUAACUGAUAUGGUUUGGCUCUGUGUCCCCGCCCAAAUCUCAUGUUGAAUUAUAAUUUCCAAUAUUGGAGGAGGUACCUAGUGGGAGGUGACUGGAUCAUUGGGGGAAAUUUCCCCCUUGCUGUCCUCAUGAUAGUGAGUGAGUUCUCACAAGAUCUGAUGGUUUAAAAGUGUGUGGCAUUUCCCCCUUUACUCUUUCUCUCUCCUGCUGGCCAUGAGAAUAAGUGCUUGCUUCCCAUUCACCUUCUGCCAUGCUUGUGUUUCCUGAGGCUUCCCAGCCAUGCUUCUUGUUCAAGCUGCAGAACUGUGAGUCAAUUAAACCUCAUUUCUUCAUAAAUUACCCAGUCUCAGCUCUUUAUGGGAGUGUGAGAAUGGACUAAUAAAAUAUCUCUAGAAUUAUGUUUUUGGAGAUAAUUUAAAGAUAAACAAAUAUUGGAAACCUCAUUUGAUCACACAGAGAACAGUAAAUGGAAGUUCUACUUUUUCUCCAGGGCCUUUCUCAUGCUUAUGCAGGGAUUAUUCACCCAGAUAUCCUGAAAUAAGACAUCCAAUUAAGGUACCUGCUAUCUCAUGUAACACAGAAGAAAGUUGAGCAUAGAGGUUAAACAUUACCUAAUAUUGUUGGAAAAGCUUCGAAGCGUUCAUUUUCAAAGCAGCUAAUGUAAACCAUGAUAAUCACUAGUAGCACUAUGCCAUUUUAAAUACUUCAAUAUUUUGUAGUUAUUAGAUUCUAAGUAAGUAUAAAAUGUAGUGAAUACAAAUUUUAUUUGCCUAAACAGUGUUAGACAAUAUAAAUUAACGAGUUAUUUUUUAUUCUGUUUAAUAUUUUCAAGCCAAUAAACACUUUACUAAAGUA
rnacentral:lncRNA from 1 species